CCAACCUGUUUGGCUGGUUCUUCACAGAAUGUGGGUUCCCCAUGGUCAUUGCAUUUGCAGACUGUGAUGACAAGGGUGGUGGUACCUGUAAGACUGGGUUUCCCAUUGUCAGAAAUUACUACAGGAAGAUAGUGAACCUUGGCUCUCUCACGAUCAAAUUGACCAUAUUUCACCGUGAUGUUGGCUGAAUUGUCUGAAAGAUGGAGCAGCAUUGUGACCAUAUUGGUCAUGGUUCUGACAGAUUUAGACCUGGAUCCUCAGACUCAUGGGAAAUGAAAAUUAUAGGGACAAAUGUCAAGCUAGGGGAAAAUGAAGAAGGUGACUUGGAGAUGAUGGCACCUGAGCUGAGCCUUGAAGACCAGUGCAUCCUAUUGUUUAGAAAGUCCAUGCAGUGAAUUAGAUGUGAUCUAACUUUCAGUGAUCAUCUGCUUUGUGGAACUAAUGGGCCCACCCUGGCUGGCUGCAAAAACAGAUGAGAAAGUCCUUUUCCAUGUGAUAUGAGUCACACAUGACACUAAUUGAUUCUACCUUAUCCUGCUGUGCCCCCCCUCACUUCUUCCUUAGUUUUGGUAACAGUGAAGGAACUGAGAGAAAGAAUUUGACCAUUGGGCCUUUUGUUGGACGGGAGUCAAGGUCUCCUGAGGAGGAAACAGCCAUAGUAAUAAUAAAUGUAAUAAUUAGAUUAGCAAAAGUUCAAUAUGAGUUAACAGCAUGAUAUUACCCACAUCUCACCUCUCCCCUCCAAAAAACCCUAUGAGCCUAAGGUUUAGAGACAGUGUCCAGCAUAAGGGAAGUUACAACUUAAUGUAUUUUGUCUCAAAUAGAUCUAUAUUGAAAUAAUAUAUACUCUUCUAGAUGCCUCACAAAGGUGCUCACAAUGGAUAGAGUACUGGAUCUGGAAUUAA